rnacentral:rRNA from 14 species
ACCUACAACCAUACCACCCUGAUUGCGCCCGAUCUCUUCUGAUCUCAGAAGGUAAGCAGGAUCAGGCCCAGUUAGUAUUUGGAUGGGAGGAAUUAUCCUUGGCAUAGCCAUUUCUAAAAUUGUAAUUUGGUGAUGGAA